rnacentral:rRNA from 1 species
GGAUGACACAGUAGGAUAAGCUAAGCACACUGUUGGUUAUGUGUGCCCAAGCAUUGAGGCAGUCAAAGUAGGCAAAUCCGCUUUGAUAAUGCUGGGAUGUGAUGGGGAGCGAAAUUUAGUAGCGAAGUAGCUGAUUUCACACUGUCAAGAAAAGUCUCUAUCGAGGUUAAAGGUACCCGUACCGCAAACCGACACAGGUGGGUGAGGAGAGUAUCCUAAGGCCAGCGAGAGAACUGUUGUUAAGGAACUCGGCAAAAUGACCCCGUAACUUAGGGAUAAGGGGUGCCACCAUCAGGUGGCCGCAGAGAAUAGGCCCAAGCGACUGUUUACCAAAAACAUAGGUUUCUGCUAAGUCGCAAGACGAUGUAUAGGAGCUGACGCCUGCCCGGUGCUGGAAGGUUAAGGGGAUCUGUUAGAGCAAUCGAAGCAGUGAACUUAAGCCCCAGUAAACGGCGGCCGUAACUAUAACGGUCCUAAGGUAGCGAAAUUCCUUGUCGGGUAAGUUCCGACCCGCACGAAAGGCGUAACGAUUUGGGCACUGUCUCAACAACAGACUCGGUGAAAUUGUAAUUCCGGUGAAGAUGCCGGAUACCUGCGACAGGACGGAAAGACCCCAUGGAGCUUUACUGUAGCUUGACAUUGGGUCUUGGUACUACAUGUACAGGAUAGGUGGGAGGCUUUGAAACCAGGACGCCAGUUUUGGCGGAGCCAUCCUUGGGAUACCACCCUUGUAGUACUGGGACUCUAACCAUAGGCCAUGAAUCUGGUCUUGGGACACUGUCAGGUGGGCAGUUUGACUGGGGCGGUCGCCUCCCAAAAGGUAACGGAGGCGCUCAAAGGUUCUCUCAGUACGGUCGGAAAUCGUACGUAGAGUGUAAAGGCAAAAGAGAGCUUGAUUGCAAGACAUACAGGUCGAGCAAGGAUGAAAAUCGGACUUAGUGAUCCGGUGGUUCUGCGUGGAAGGGCCAUCGCUCAACGGAUAAAAGCUACCCUGGGGAUAACAGGCUUAUCUCCCCCAAGAGUCCACAUCGACGGGGAGGUUUGGCACCUCGAUGUCGGCUCAUCACAUCCUGGGGCUGUAGUAGGUCCCAAGGGUUGGGCUGUUCGCCCAUUAAAGUGGUACGCGAGCUGGGUUCAGAACGUCGUGAGACAGUUCGGUCCCUAUCCGUCGCAGGCGUAGGAAAUUUGAGAAGACCUGUUCUUAGUACGAGAGGACCGGGAUGGACGUACCUCUGGUGUACCAGUUGUUCUGCCAAGGGCAUGGCUGGGUAGCUAUGUACGGAAUGGAUAAGCGCUGAAAGCAUCUAAGCGCGAAGCCAACUUCAAGAUAAGAUUUCCCACCGCAAGGGUAAGACCCCAGAAAGACUAUCUGGUUGAUAGGUCGAAGGUGUAAGUGCAGCAAUGUAUUUAGCUUAUCGAUACUAAUAGGUCGAGGACUUGACCA